rnacentral:rRNA from 1 species
CGGACGGGUGAGUAACACGUGGAUAACCUACCUAUAAGACUGGGAUAACUUCGGGAAACCGGAGCUAAUACCGGAUAAUAUAUUGAACCGCAUGGUUCAAUAGUGAAAGACGGUUUUGCUGUCACUUAUAGAUGGAUCCGCGCCGCAUUAGCUAGUUGGUAAGGUAACGGCUUACCAAGGCAACGAUGUGUAGCCGACCUGAGAGGGUGAUCGGCCACACUGGAACUGAGACACGGUCCAG